UACAGAGGUCUCAAGCGUUAAUCGGAAUCACUGGGCUUAAAGGGUGCGUAGGCGGACUCGCAAGUGCUUUGUGAAAUCCCACGGCUCAACCGUGGAACGGCUUGGCAGACUGCGGGCCUCGAGGUUGGUAGGGGCCGCCGGAACUCUAGGUGGAGCGGUGAAAUGCGUAGAGAUCGGGAGGAACACCAGAGGCGAAAGCGGCGACCUGGACAGGAACUGACACUCAACUACGAAAGCGUGGGGAGCAAACAGG
rnacentral:rRNA from 1 species